rnacentral:rRNA from 1 species
AUUCCAGCUCCAAUAGCGUAUAUUAAAGUUGUUGCGGUUAAAAAGCUCGUAGUUGGAGUUCUGCCAGGUGGCGCUCGUCCGCCCAAGUGGUGUGUACAGGGCGUGCAUCUGGCCCUUUCAAGGGGAACGUGUCUGCACUUCAUUGUGUGGUGCGAGAUCCUUGACUUUUACUUUGAGGAAAUAAGAGUGUUCCAAGCAGGCUCUCGUCGUGCAUAGCUCAGCAUGGAAUAAUAGCAUUGGACUUCGUUUCUACGCUGUUGGUUGCCAGAAGCGAGGUAAUGAUUAAGAGGGACGGUCGGGGGCAUUUAUAUUCCAGGGUUAGAGGUGAAAUUCUUAGAUCCUUGGAAGAUAAACAGCUGCGAAAGCGUCUGCCAAGGACGUUUUCAUCG